UACAGAGGUCUCAAGCGUUGUUCGGAUUCAUUGGGCGUAAAGGGUGCGUAGGCGGCGCGGUAAGUCGGGUGUGAAAUUUCGAGGCUUAACUUCGAAACUGCAUUCGAUACUGCCGUGCUUGAGGACUGGAGAGGAGACUGGAAUUUUACGGUGUAGCGGUGAAAUGCGUAGAUAUCGUAAGGAAGACCAGUGGCGAAGGCGG
rnacentral:rRNA from 1 species